UGUCCUCAGUGACUGAAGUCUGGGAUUCAUACUCUGUGUAUCAAAGCUGUGAGCCUGUUUUUACUCUUUUCUUCUACUCGAUAUGAAAUGAUAUCUUUGGUUUAAUGGAUGAUCGCCUCACUGUUUUUAAGCUAUACGCGGCUAGUGAAGCAGAAAGCACAUGGAGUAUCUGAGUUAGUCCGCGUGUAUUCAUGGUGGCACCCAAGGGCCAUCUAAUAUUAAUGCACAACAUGUGGGACAUUGUGUGAAACCUUGCCAGUUUCCCCUCGUGGCUGGACCAAAGGCACCCAAGUUCAUCUGAAGGAUCACUGGUUGGUCUGCAGCUGACAGUAUACACUGGGCGAAAGCAACAUGGACUAUGAAACCUGCAUGGGUCGGCACCGCCUCAACCUGACAGACCGAACACACUGCCAAAGGAAAAACAGGAUGGGCCACUGCUGAUGACGUCACACCGGCGACUGCUGGGUGGUGAUGGAGUGAUGGCCUGUGUGCAUGUGAUUCUGAGAAGCCAAACAGGCUGUGUUCACCAUCCACUCUGAUGUUAUCUGAGAGAAUCUGAUCUGAUCCUGCGGUGUAGGGGGGAAUGCUGCUCGGCCUGACUGAGGUAUCCCAACCACACACAGCGAGGACUCCACGUCUGACACACAAGAAGGACGAUGCCAGCUACAGUAUAUUAUUUUCUUUAUUCUGUCAUCUUUGCGAAAUGAAGGGGAACAUAAAGGAUUGAGGGCCGAGAUGUGGAAAUGAGAUUCACUGCUUGAGAUCUGCUGGAAAUGAGGGGAAAAAUACAUUUGGGCUGACACGAUCACAGCUCACCAAGAUCAGUCAAAACUUUCACUGAGACCAUCCAUUCAUUAUGAAUUGAAGUGACCUAUAUUCACUGUGAAUAUCUGUUUUUAUUUUUGACAGGGUGUCUCUGUAUUUAAAGGCAUUUUUGCUUCAAAUUUGAGAAAAAAAAGACUCUUAUGUUCUGAUGCUGAUGUUGUUUCUCAGUCUGAGGUCAGUUUAAAUGGAAACCUUUUUCAAUAUGUAGGCCUGUGAUGGCAUUAGCAUCGCUUUUCAAUAUAUUAACUAGAU